CCAUUUUAACCUCAUUGCGUUCCGACGGCCCGUCCACGGGCUAUUGGGGGUUUAAGAGGUAUACCAAAACUCAACGAAAAACAAAGUUAAACAUAUUAUAUAUCUCUGGAAAGCUGAGAUUCCUGUGAUUCGAAUGAUGUAAACCAUUUUAGGAUACAAUCAACACAGCGGGUACAAUCUGUGGCUUUGUCAGACCACCUCCAGCCAAAUAAACAAACACAAACUGGAAUAAACUCACCCUUGAAGCCUUCUGUUAGUUCACUGAUCCACUACAUUCCAACAAAAACGGUUUGGUUACACUGCCAAGGGUCCAUACAAUCCAAUUCAGCGAAGUAUGUAGUCCAAAACACAUUUAUAUAUCAAUAUGCAUCCACGGAAUGUAGUAAUAGCGCUGUCAGCUAAUUUGAUAUGCUAUCACAACUUCGACACAUUAUACGGUCUACCUCCAUUUCAUUCGUAAACAUGAACUAAAAUACGAUUCUAAAAUGGCCGCGGACCCCUGACCUUUUGAUUGACGGGUCAUUUGAGCCAAUCGGUCAAUGAUAAGGGUGUCGGAAAGGUGUGAAUAGCCAAUGAGCCCCUAUGUGAAGAAUGGUACCUCCCUCUCUUUGAUUGACAGUAAAUCGAUCCAGUUGCAAUGGAUGAUGGAAAUGACUGUCUGGUCUGAUAGCCAAUGAGUUUCUGUAAAGAAUAAUAUGCAACUUCAGUGGGAAGAUUCAUCUGGUCACACUUGAGACUCCUGCGCAAACUCACCAUACGGAUUCAUGCGCCCGUGCGUAAAGGCAGCGUUGAGCGACUUUACGAGUGAAAGAACGUAAUAGUGGAAAAAUGGCAAAGGGAACUGCAAAAACACACUUCUUACUUCAAGAAGUUAUCGAUCAGUGUACUCGUCGUGAUAGUGAUGAGUCGGAUGACGCUAUUUCUGGUGAAGACAGCGACGUUUCAUCCAUUGCCUCUAGCCUGUAGCAGAGGAGAUGUUUUUGGAAGGCGGAGACGUAACUCUCGACAAACCAUCCUCUGAAAGUGAAUCUGAUGAAGUCUGGAAGCCAAAAAAACAUACUGAGGGACAGAAUGACAGCACCUCAUCAGGAGAGGAGCCCCAUCCUCCACCUUCCCAGAGAGGUUCUGCCAGCAAAACACCAAGAGGCAGAGCACGGGGGAGGGGGAGUUGGUGGUUGAAGGACAUCUCUAUUCCACCAGCAGUGAAGUAGUACAACCGGUGCAUGGGUGGAGUCGACCUAUCUGAUGCCCUGAUCAGUUAUUAUAAAGUCAUCCACAAGACCCAGAAGUGGUAUAAGACUUUUUUAUCACUUCAUGGACAUUGCCGUUGUGAAUGCCUUUCUUUUCUACAAGGACAUCACAAAAGGAAAAGGACAGGUACCCAUGCACCAGAAGGCCUUUAGGGAGACAUUAGUGGAGGAGCUGGCAGCAGCAGCUGGCACACCAGCUCCAUCAAUACUCCAAGCACUGCACAUCACAAACCUGUGCAUAUCAGUGGACACAGCACUGCAGGUCGUCUGAAGUGCAGACACUGCCAUGCAAAGACAUUAGUAAAGUGCUCCUCUUGUGAUGUGCAUUUGUGCUUUUUUUUUGGCAUGUUGCUAAAAACCUUUGAUAGGUGUUAGGUGUGAUAUACAUGUAUAUAUUUUUUUGUAGAUGUGCCCCCCUAUUUUCUUUGAAUUUGUAAAUAGUUUGAGAUAGAUAUAGUGUGUGAGUUCUAAUAUUAAAUUGUUUUAAUACAUA